rnacentral:rRNA from 1 species
GACGAACGCUGGCGGCGUGCCUAAUACAUGCAAGUUGAGCGCUGAAGGUUGGUACUUGUACCAACUGGAUGAGCAGCGAACGGGUGAGUAACGCGUGGGGAAUCUGCCUUUGAGCGGGGGACAACAUUUGGAAACGAAUGCUAAUACCGCAUAAAAACUUUAAACACAAGUUUUAAGUUUGAAAGAUGCAAUUGCAUCACUCAAAGAUGAUCCCGCGUUGUAUUAGCUAGUUGGUGAGGUAAAGGCCCACCAAGGCGAUGAUACAUAGCCGACCUGAGAGGGUGAUCGGCCACAUUGGGACUGAGACACGGCCCAAACUCCUACGGGAGGCAGCAGUAGGGAAUCUUCGGCAAUGGACGAAAGUCUGACCGAGCAACGCCGCGUGAGUGAAGAAGGUUUUCGGAUCGUAAAACUCUGUUGGUAGAGAAGAACGUUGGUGAGAGUGGAAAGCUCAUCAAGUGACGGUAACUACCCAGAAAGGGACGGCUAACUACGU